GGGCACGUAGCUCAGUCGGUAGAGCAUCUGACUUUUAAUCAGGUGGUCACAGGUUCGAAUCCUGUCGUGCCCACCA
rnacentral:tRNA from 1 species